rnacentral:rRNA from 1 species
AUUGAACGCUGGCGGCAGGCCUAACACAUGCAAGUCGAACGAGUGGCGGACGGGUGAGUAAUGUCUGGGAAACUGCCUGAUGGAGGGGGAUAACUACUGGAAACGGUAGCUAAUACCGCAUACCAUCGGAUGUGCCCAGAUGGGAUUAGCUAGUAGGUGGGGUAACGGCUCACCUAGGCGACGAUCCCUAGCUGGUCUGAGAGGAUGACCAGCCAAACUGGGACUUAGUAACGGUUCAGAUGCGUACGGGAGGCAGCAGUGGGGAAUAGUGCACAAUGGGCGCAAGCCUGAUGCAGGCAUGCCGUGUGUAUGAAGAAGGCCUUCGGGUUGUAAAGUACUUUCAGCGGGGAGGCGUUACCCUCAGAAUAAGCACCGGCUAAUUCCGUGCCAUCAGCCGCGGUAAGAA